AUUGAACGCUGGCGGAAUGCUUUACACAUGCAAGUCGAACGGCAGCACGGACUUCGGUCUGGUGGCGAGUGGCGAACGGGUGAGUAUUGUAUCGGAACGUGCCCAGUCGUGGGGGAUAACGUAGUGAAAAUUACGCUAAUACCGCAUACGAUCUAUGGCUGAAAGCGGGGGAUCGCAAGACCUCGCCCGAUUGGAGCGGCCGAUAUCAGAUUAGGUAGUUGGUGGGGUAAAGGGCCACCAAGCCAACGAUCUGUAGCUGGGCUGAGAGGACGACCAGCCACACUGGAACUGAGACACGGUCCAGACUCCUACGGGAGGCAGCAGUGGGGAAUUUUGGACAAUGGGCGAAAGCCUGAUCCAGCCAUUCCGCGUGCAGGAUGAAGGCCCUCGGGUUGUAAACUGCUUUUGUACAGAACGAAAAGGUUUCUACUAAUACUAGGAGCUCAUGACGGUACUGUAAGAAUAAGCACCGGCUAACUACGUGCCAGCCGCCGCCGUAA
rnacentral:rRNA from 1 species